GCAUCAGGAUGAGGCAGGCUGUAGAUGGUGACCACACCGCUGGACGUGGCUACAGCCAGCAAACCCAGCCUGGGCAAGAAAGGAGCCUAAAGGCAAAAUGAAAGAUGAGAUUUCAUGUUUUUAAGGAGUCAGGAAGCUCCCAGCCUCCUGCUGGACACCACUUUAACUGCCAGAUGAAGCCUUUGUCCUGAGCCAAACCGUAAACCAGGGAGGGCUGAGAGUCUGGUCUGCACAGGAUUUACACAAAGAAUAAUCAAUCAGUCUAUAUUUACAGAGGACUUUUAAUGAACGUUUGCCACAGUCCCACAGCUGGACCAGUCCGGGUUCUGAGUAGGUCUGGUUCACAUAGUGCAGGUCGUCCAUCCCUCGAUGGCAAGCCAGAGCGAUGUACUGGGAGGCCGGAGCGCCGUCCGGGGUGGGACACCACUCCAGG